rnacentral:tRNA from 1 species
UACAUUUUGGUGUAUGGUGCACAAGAAUUUUUGAUAUUCUAGGUAAUAGUUUAAUUCUAUUAAAUGUAA